AGCUCACUGGUCGAGUCGGCCUGCGCGGAAGAUGUAACGGGGCUAAACCAUGCACCGAAGCUGCGGCAGCGAACGUAUCACCCAAGACAACUUUACGGAGUUGACGAUUGACGGAGCGAAGCGACGUCAAAGCGUUCAUUAAAGUCGAGUUGGCUUAGGGAUACGUUCGUUGGGUAGGGGAGCGUUCUGUAAGCCUGUGAAGGUGUGUCGUGAGGCAUGCUGGAGGUAUCAGAAGUGCGAAUGCUGACAUAAGUAACGAUAAAGCGGGUGAAAAGCCCGCUCGCCGGAAGACCAAGGGUUCCUGUCCAACGUUAAUCGGGGCAGGGUGAGUCGACCCCUAAGGCGAGGCCGAAAGGCGUAGUCGAUGGGAAACGGGUUAAUAUUCCCGUACUUGGUGUUACUGCGAAGGGGGGACGGAGAAGGCUAUGUUGGCCGGGCGACGGUUGUCCCGGUUUAAGCGUGUAGGUGUGUGUUCCAGGUAAAUCCGGUUCACUUUAACACUGAGGCGUGACGACGAGGCACUACGGUGCUGAAGCAACAAAUGCCCUGCUUCCAGGAAAAGCCUCUAAGCAUCAGGUAACACGAAAUCGUACCCCAAACCGACACAGGUGGUCAGGUAGAGAAUACCAAGGCGCUUGAGAGAACUCGGGUGAAGGAACUAGGCAAAAUGGUGCCGUAACUUCGGGAGAAGGCACGCUGACACGUAGGUGAAGUGAUUUACUCAUGGAGCUGAAGUCAGUCGAAGAUACCAGCUGGCUGCAACUGUUUAUUAAAAACACAGCACUGUGCAAACACGAAAGUGGACGUAUACGGUGUGACGCCUGCCCGGUGCCGGAA
rnacentral:rRNA from 1 species